CAGUCGCCGCGGGAAUACGUAGGGUGCAAGCGUUAAUCGGAAUUACUGGGCGUAAAGCGUGCGCAGGCGGUUCGCUAAGACAGAUGUGAAAUCCCCGGGCUUAACCUGGGAACUGCGCUUGUGACUGCACAGCUAGAGUAUGGCAGAGGGGGGUAGAAUCCCACGUGUAGCAGUGAAAUGCGUAGAGAUGUGGAGGAAUACCGAUGGCGAAGGCAGCCCCCUGGGCCAAUACUGACGCUCAUGCACGAAAGCGUGGGGAGCAAACAGGAUUAGAUACCCCCGUAGUCCCUGUCUCUUAUAU
rnacentral:rRNA from 1 species